AGAGGGCUGCAGUUCACCUGCUCAGGUGGUCGUGUGUCUUCAGGGAGUCGACACCAUCAGUCGGCUCUCUGCGUUUCUGUUUGGGUGAAACUCUGAGCUGAGAGUUUGAGAUUUCUUUCUUUGGGCCAGUUUCUACACAUUUAGUUUCCCCCUGAUCACUGACUCCCACCUCACCUUUGGUUUUUGGGUCCAGUGUUUUUGUUGGUCUCUCAUGUUGAUAGAAUCAGCAGGCGGCUGUGGGUUUUAUUAGACACUGAGAGACCAGUUUGCUUUGACCCUGUUGUGAUCUGUGCAGACGCCUGUCCUUCAGGUUCUGUUCUCUGGGGAAACGUAACAAUCACGAAAAGAAUAACUGCAGUGCACUCGCAAAAAAACAGGAAGCUCAAAUGUGUUCUCUAAAAAUUGAAUGAUUGUGGGUUGAGAAUCUGAUUCUGUACUGAAAGUGCUCAAAAGUCCAACUGAUUGUCCUCAUUAUCAGGUCUCUUCUCGUCAGAAUUCUUAAGCUCAAACUCAAAGUACACCAAGACGAUGAAAACAAACAGUCUCAGCUCAUUGUGGACAUGUUGUGGUCCGUCCCCAUUCUUCCCUGCUCUCUACUCGUCUUGCUCUAAUCUGAAUUCAGACGGAGGUUCUCUGCUCUGAUGACGAGUCGUGCAGCACAAGUUUCAACUUCAGAGCUGUCCGGGAGUGACGCUGAUCAAAGGGCCACCAUCUUAUAUCAUAUUUGGCCAGAUUCAUUCAGAAGCGUAUUUACAAAGCAUCCAGAAUACAGAACACCUGGCCUGCUGCAUGUCCCACACCCAGACAGAUGCUGGCAGCAGGUGGUCAUGUUCACAGAACGAACAAAACAAGAUCUGUCUGAUUUUCUAUGCUCGGGAUAUGGCCCCUGUAUAUCAGAGAGAGAGUACAAAGGUGAUGGAUUAUGCCAUUAUCCACAAACAGUUCCACCUGUCCCGUUACAAACAGUAAACGCCUCACGUGAAUGACAAUCCCUGUGGUGUCAGAUUCGAAUUUCAGCUGGAUGAGUCCGUAUGUUGUGCUGGAUGCAGUACAGAACAUGCAGCGAGGUCCGGUGGGAUCAAGAUAAUGGACUGAAUGAAAGAAAAUUGACUUGCACGAAAUCACUCUUCCAAACUCCUCAAGACUUUAUGUUUCAAUCAGCUUUUCUGUGGUGACCUCCGUUUAUACACUCGCAUUAUAUCUCUCCUGCACCAUGGUCUGCAUUUUGCGUUAAUGAUCAUGAUUUAUAUGCAUCGCACACAUCAGAAAAGCAUAAACUAAGCCGUCUGAAUUGCCCUUUUACACACCGUCCUAAUUUCAGCCUAGGCUGAUAAAAAUUUAAAGGGCUAAUCAGGGUUAAACUGCUGCAGGGUUGUGAUCAUGUUCAGGCAGAAGGGAAGAGAUAAGGAUGCUCAAGGACAGUUGUUUUAAAAAGGCACUAUUUGAAGUUAUUGAUUUGGGGUUUUUUUUUCCCUUCCCAGGUGUUGAUGCUCAUUUGAAUGACCUUGGUGUGUUUAAUAU